UCGGCCUGUGCUCCGACUCUCUGUGCGCU
rnacentral:piRNA from 1 species